rnacentral:lncRNA from 10 species
UUUAGACUCAAUGGUCUCCAAAAUUUCUUAGAAUACCUUGAGAUUGAGGAUCUAAUACUUCGUUUUUUGAGACAGAGUCUCACUUCAUUGCCCAGGCUAGAGUGCAGCGGCGCGAUCUCGGCUCACCGCAACCUCCGCCUCCUGGGUUCAAGCGAUUCUCCUGCCUCAACCUCCCGAGCAGCUGGGACUGCAGGCACCUGCCACCACGCCCAGCUAAUUUUUGUAUUUUUAGUAGAGUCGGAGUUUCACCAUGUUAGCCAGGCUGGUCUCAAACUCCUGGCCUCAGGUGAGGAUCCAAUAUUUCUACAACAAAAAAUCCUGGUCAGAUGUGCUGGCACAACCCACUUGACAAUACUUUCUCAGCUUGUAUAUGCCAGCGCCACUGAAGAUUGUAUUUGCAUAAGAAGGUGAACACAAUUGUAGAAAUAUUCUUCUAAGUCAAAUUAUUUCAAAAUAGCCAGGUGCAGUAGCACACCUGUAGUCCCAGUCAUUCAGGAGCCCGAGGCGGAAGGAUCGCUGGGGCCCACUGAGACCAGCCUGGCCAACAUGGAGAAACCCCAUCUCUACUAAAAAUACAAGAGUUAGCUGGGCAUGGUGGUGCACACCUGUAAUCCCAGCUACCUGGGAGGCUAAGGCAGGAGAAUCACUUGAAUCUGGAAGGCAGAGGUUGCAGUGAGCCAAGAUCCUACCACUGCACUCCAGCCUGGGUGGCAGGGCAAGACUCUGUCUCCAAAAAAGAAAAAAGAAAUCUGUACGUCAGAGAUGUCUGCACUCCCACCCAAUGCAGCGUUAUUCACACUAGCCAAGAUAUGCAAGCAACCCAAGUGCCCAAUUAACGGAUGGAUUUUUAAAUGUGGUAUGUAGACACAACAGAAUGCUAUUCAGCUUUUUAAAAGGAAACCGUUAUUUGUAACAUGGGUGAAUCGAUAAAUCUAGAAGACAUUAUGCUAAAAUAAGCCACAGAAAGACUGCAUGAACUUAUACACGGAAUCUAGAAAGUCAAACUCGGAAACUGAAAGUAGAAUGGGGGUUACCAGAGGCUUGGAGGUAUGGGUAAGCAGGGAGACAAAGGGUACAACACUUCAGAUGCAAGAAAUGAGUUCUGGUAAGCCACUGCACAGCAUGGUGACUACAGUUCAUAAAAACGUGAGACACAGUGGCAUGCAUCCAUAGUCCCAGCUGAGAGGCUAAGGGCAAGAAGAUCACUUAAGCCCAGGAGUUCAAGUCCAGCCUGAGCAACAUAGGGAGACCCGUUUCAACCCAUUUACGCCUAGUGCUCCAUUACAGGUGUGACCCACCACACUCGGCCAGAACACACUAUUCUUACUGAAUGACUGAAGUCAAUCAUUUUUUGUUUUUAUUUUUGGUCUGAUUAUUCACAAAACAUUUGCAACCUCCAGCAUAAAAGGGCUGAAAUAACAUAAAUUUCAAAAUUUUCUAAGAGUGGCUUUGUAUGUUCUCAUUCAUGCUAAUGAUAUGAAGUGAUGGAUAUAUUAGCCUGAUUUGAUUCCACAAUGUGUACAUGUACAGAAAUAGGACAUUGUACCCCAUAAAUAUAUACAAGUUAAUUAAAAAUAAAAUUUUCAUAGCCGGACACAGUAUCUCACACCUUAAUCCCAGCACUCUGGGAGGCCAAAGUGGGACAAUCACUUGAGCCCAGAGCAGUUUUGAGACCAGACCAGCCUGAGCAACAUGGCAAGACCCCAUCUCCACAAAAAAUACAAAAAAAAAUUAGCCAGUCAUGGUGGCAGGUGCCUGUAGUCCCGUCCCAGCUACUCCAGAGGCUGAGGUGGGCAGAUAGCUUGCGGGUGGGAGGCAGAGGUUGCAGUUGGUCGAGAUCACACCACUGCAAUCCAGCCUGGGUGAGAGUGAGACCGUCUCAAAAAAAAAAAAAAAAUUUAAAAAGGAUGAGACUGGAAGGAAGACAUGCCUAAAGGUAGAUCAGUGAGUCAAGUCUCACAUGGGCUGGACCCUAGACCUUAAUUCCUGGUCAAUCUACCCACCACUGACAUAACUGCAGCCCUACAUCCAAGUACUGAAACCCAGGAAGGCCCGGCACAAGAUGGGGAAAAAAGCUGAAAGGGCUAACUGAAGGCUACAUCAAGGAAGGGACAAACAGACCUACAGCACAGCUCUCCCCACCCUCCUCACUUCCUACUUAGCCUGUCCCAAUUCCAACUCACAAAAAUGGGACACCUAAUGCUUCAAGACAGAUUUCAAUCAUUCAGUAAGAAUAGAGUAUUCUGGCCAAACGCAGUGGGUCACACCUGUGAUCCCAGCACUUUGGGAGGCUGAGGCAGGCAGGUCACUUGAGGCCAGUUCAAGACCAGCCUGGGCAACCCAGUGAAACCCUGUUUCUUAAAAAAAAAAAAGUAAUUAAAAAAAAAAUUACCCAGGUGUGGUAGCGAGGAAGCACCUGUAGUCCCAGCUACUUGGGAGGCUGAGGUGGGAGGUUGGCUUGAGAGGCACCAAUGUUCUCUCUGCUGCUAGGUGUCUCUAUCCAUUCUCCUGGAAGAUCCCCCCAAACUGGACCUACCCACUAAACAGUCACCUGGGACCCUAUUUCCUUUUAAGGUCAAGGCCAAUCACAUAUGCCAUUUGAAGGACACAGGAACUUGACACUAAUGGUCCCAGUAAUCAUAUCUUACAAGGAGCUUCGACCUCCUCCACUCCUAACAGGAGGGCAUCAGGGGACCACAACCAAAGCAAGAUUAGAAUCCUGCUAGGCAAAGCACCAACAGUGAACUACUCAAAUAUCGUAUCAGGCCAUUUCAACUAAACAUUUAACAAAGAAACCAGCAGUGGCAGGGACGGAGAGAACUGCCACAUCCUCUACAUGUACUAAGUCAAAGCAAUGCCUGGGAAGGCCCACUUGACGAUCCUUUGUUUUUAAUACGCCAGACCACUCUCCGCCUACUGUUGCUUAGAGAGCACCCCAAUGCUGGCAGGGGAAGUAAACCUGCUAUUCCUCUUAAAAGUCAUGGUUUAUUGGGAGGCUGAGGUGUGCACAUCACCUGAGGUCGGGAGUUCGAGACCAGCCUGACCAACAUGGAGAAACCCCGUCUCUACUAAAAAUACAAAUAAAUUAGCUGGGCAUGGUGGCGCAUGCCUGUAAUCCCAGCUAUCGCUUGAACCCAGGAGGCGGCAGUUGCGGUAAGCCGAAAAACGUGCCAUUGCACUCCAGCCUGGGCAACAAGAGCAAAACUCCAUCUCAAAAAAUAAAGUCAUAGUUUCUGUGCCUCAAAUCACCCAAGAUUCAAGGAUGCAGCAACUCUUCAGUAGAGAACAUACUUGUGGAACACUUGAAAAUUUGAGAGGAUGGCCAGAUGCAGCGGCUCAUGCCUGUAAUUCCAGCACUUUGGGAGGCCAAGGCAGGUGGAUCACCUGAGGUCAGGAGUUAAGAGACCAGCCUGGCCAACACAGUGAAACCACACCUCCACUAAAAAUGCAAAAACUAGGUGGGCAUGGUGGCCCACGCCUGUAGUCUCAGCUACUCAGAAGCUGGGAUUCUCCUGAGGCAGGAGAAUCGCUUAAACUCAGGAGGCAGAGGCUACAGUGAGCCGAGAUCACGCCACUGCACUCCAGCCUGGAUGACAGAGCAAGACUCUGUCUCUAAAAAUAAAAAAUAAAAAUUUGAGAGGAAAGCACUUCCCAAUUAGGGGUCCCCAGCACAUUUGUAAGCUAUGCUUGUGAUGGCAGCUGUCUUACAAACCAAGUUCGAAAACCCUGUAAAUAAAACCUUUCUGCUCUUGGGUUAAUGUUACGCUCUGUGUAACUAAAAUAAAAAGCAUGCUAAAUAACUGGUUGGCAGGUACGUGCAAGUUUACAACCACAUGGUAAGAGGCUGAGGAGCACUGCUCUAAGGUUUUAACUCAUUGGCUGCAACCCCUUCCCCCUCUUAUCACUUAUCAUUCCCUUAGGAGGGCCUUCCACCCUCCAAUCAAAAAGGGAUCAAGCCUAAAAUCUCAUAAUGUCAAUGACCUCAAGCCCUCUGAGUACAGGCAGGAUGUGAAAGUAACCCAGCCAGACCAGUCUCCUUAUAGCAGGUAUCUACCCAAGCGCUGUUCACCAGGGCAGCUAGGAAGGGAGUCACUCACCUCCUAGAUCCUGACUCCACUCCACAAACUCCUGCAGCACUCAGUUACUCUCCUUCCUGUGAAAGACCCAGAGUGGCUAAGCGCUCUCCACCAUGGUCAAAUCUGAAUACUGCCCCAUUUAAAUGUAGUUUGUUUGAGCCUCACCAUUAAAAGGGCCAAAAGAUCAAAGAGUUCUUAAAAAGGGAUAAACUGCUGCAAAUAAACUAAGACCAGUAUGCAAAUAAAUGUGGUAAAGGAAAAAUUCCCCAUAGCUGGGCAAAUUUAGGCCAACACUCAUGACAUCCCAUGUUCUUCAUUUCUCAUUUAUACACCAACUUUCCCCAUGACAGAAAAGUUUAAUCUCUGCUCUCAAGGAUAUCAUUUGGCCUUCUCCCCGAACACUGUAUUCCAG